rnacentral:tRNA from 1 species
GCCUGGGUGGCUCAGUCGGUUGAGCGGCUGACUUUGGCUCAGGUUGUGAUCCCACACUCUGUGAGUUCGAGCCCCGCGUCAGGCU